rnacentral:rRNA from 1 species
GACGAACGCUGGCGGCGUGCCUAAUACAUGCAAGUAGAACGCACAGUUUAUACCGUAGCUUGCUCCACCAUAAACUGUGAGUUGCGAACGGGUGAGUAACGCGUAGGUAACCUGCCUGGUAGCGGGGGAUAACUAUUGGAAACGAUAGCUAAUACCGCAUAAUAUUAAUUAUUGCAUGAUAAUUGAUUGAAAGAUGCAAUUGCAUCACUACCAGAUGGACCUGCGUUGUAUUAGCUAGUAGGUGAGGUAACGGCUCACCUAGGCGACGAUACAUAGCCGACCUGAGAGGGUGAUCGGCCACACUGGGACUGGGACACGGCCCAGACUCCUACGGGAGGCAGCAGUAGGGAAUCUUCGGCAAUGGACGAAAGUCUGACCGAGCAACGCCGCGUGAGUGAAGAAGGUUUUCGGAUCGUAAAGCUCUGUUGUAAGAGAAGAACGGGUGUGAGAGUGGAAAGUUCACACUGUGACGGUAUCUUACCAGAAAGGGACGGCUAACUACGUG